CUGCAGCUGGGCCUGGAGGCAGUGGCUCUACAGCAGCAGUGAGAGCCGAGCUGUGGCAGACACAUGCUCUUCCCCUGACUCACGGCUGCCCAGUUCCCUCCAGCGAGGCUGCUGACCUAUUUUUCUAUUAGGAACAACCAGCCAAUGUGAUAAUGAGGAAAAUGUAUUCUGGCCCCUAUGAAGUUUAGUGAAGCCCGAAUGAAGUGGAGGAGGCCACGGAGAUGCACGAGGAAGAGCAUUCCAGGCAGAGGGAACAGCGAGGACAAAAGCCCCCGGGCAGGAAUGGGUGUGCAAGCCUGAGAUCCAACAUGGCGGAGAGCAAGCCGGAAGUGCUGCGCGGGGAUCCUAAGGGAGCACUGAACAGGACAAGCUCAGUUUUGUCCCUCAAACCUCCACAAUCAGUGUCUUCCAGCCCCCUCGUUUCUGAUGAGAAGUUAGCAGCCAUUCCAGGCUUUUCCUUCUGUUGUCUGGCACUGGUGGGUUCUUGGUCUCAUUGACUUCAAGAAUGAAGCCGUGGACCCUUGCGCUAUUUUACAUAAGGAAAGUGGGUGGUGAUUAACCUCAGAGUCUCCAGGGACAGACUAUCCAGGACUGUGCCUGAAAUAGAAGAGGAAUUAACAUCAUACAGAACUGAAUACGGUGACUGAGGGGAGUUUGUGUCUCCCCUUUUAGGAAAGAAGAUGAGAAUAAGUAUGAAGGAGAGUCAUGUACUGUACAUUAAGCAAAAGCAUGAUGCUGUUAUUUGAAAUGUUAAUUAGAGGUGCCCACUAAAAACUGCUCAGCAAUUUUCUUGGAGACCUCAGUGCUCAUGUUAUUCUUUCCUCUAUCUUAUGUUUUCCUCUCUCCUGCCCUUUUCAGAAACAGUCUACAGC